rnacentral:rRNA from 1 species
AACGAACGUUAGCGGCGCGCUUAACACAUGCAAGUCGCACGAGAAAGGGCUUCGGCCCCGGUAAAGUGGCGCACGGGUGAGUAACACGUGGGUAAUCUUCCCUCGAGCGGGGGAUAACAUUCCGAAAGGAGUGCUAAUACCGCAUAAGACCACGGCUUCGAAAGAAGCUGAGGUCAAAGCUGGCCUCUAUAUAUAAGCUAGCACUUGAGGAUGAGCCCGCGGCCCAUCAGGUAGUUGGUAGGGUAACGGCCUACCAAGCCUAAGACGGGUAGCUGGUCUGAGAGGAUGAUCAGCCACACUGGAACUGAGACACGGUCCAGACUCCUACGGGAGGCAGCAGUGGGGGAGUCUUGCGCAAUGGGCGAAAGCCUGACGCAGCGACGCCGCGUGAGUGAUGAAGGCCUGGUUGUAAGCUCUGUGGGAGGGACGGAAGUAAGUAGAAGACUAACACCUUACUAUGAUGACGGUACCGUCCUUA